GACGUAGGGGGCGAGCGUUGUCCGGAUUUAUUGGGCGUAAAGCGUGCGUAGGCGGCUGCGCAAGUCGGGUGUGAAACCCCGGGGCUCAACCCCGGAACUGCAUCCGAUACUGCGUGGCUAGAGGUAGGUAGGGGAGAUCGGAAUUCCUGGUGUAGCGGUGAAAUGCGCAGAUAUCAGGAGGAACACCGGUGGCGAAGGCGGAUCUCUGGGCCGGUACUGACGCUGGAGACGCGAAAGCGUGGGGAGCAAACAGG
rnacentral:rRNA from 1 species